GGUCAAGUGACUAAGUGCAUGUGGUGGAUGCCUUGGCGAUUACAGGCGAUGAAGGACGUGAUAGCCUGCGAUAAGCUUCGGGGAGCUGGCAAAUUAGCUUUGAUCCGAAGAUUUCCGAAUGGGGAAACCCACCCGCAAGGGUAUCGCACACUGAAUACAUAGGUGUGCGAGGCGAACCGGGAGAACUGAAACAUCUCAGUACCUCGAGGAAAAGACAUCAACCGAGAUUCCGAAAGUAGUGGCGAGCGAAAUCGGAACAGCCUGCGCAAGAUAGCCAUCGAUUCAUCAAAACGGCAUGGAAAGGCCGACCAAAGAGGGUGAUAGUCCCGUAUGGAAAAAGUCGGUGGUGGUACUAGGUGCGGAACAAGUAGGGCGGGGCACGUGAAACCUUGUCUGAACAUGGGGGGACCAUCCUCCAAGGCUAAAUACUCGUAAUCGACCGAUAGCGAACAAGUACCGUGAGGGAAAGGCGAAAAGAACCCCGGGAGGGGAGUGAAAUAGAUCCUGAAACCGCAUGCAUACAAAAAGUCGGAGCCCGAAAGGGUGACGGCGUACCUUUUGUAUAAUGGGUCAGCGACUUACAUUCAGUGGCAAGCUUAACCGAAUAGGGAAGGCGCAGGGAAACCGAGUCCGAAUAGGGCGUUUCAGUCGCUGGGUGUAGACCCGAAACCAGGUGAUCUAUCCAUGGCCAGGAUGAAGGUGCGGUAACACGCACUGGAGGUCCGAACCGACUAGUGUUGCAAAACUAGCGGAUGAGCUGUGGAUAGGGGUGAAAGGCUAAACAAACCUGGAGAUAGCUGGUUCUCUCCGAAAACUAUUUAGGUAGUGCCUCAAGUAUUACCAUCGGGGGUAGAGCACUGUUAUGGCUAGGGGGUCAUGGCGACUUACCAAACCAUUGCAAACUCCGAAUACCGAUGAGUACAGCUUGGGAGACAGUGCACCGGGUGCUAACGUCCGGACACAAGAGGGAAACAACCCAGACCGCCAGCUAAGGUCCCUAAUAUUGGCUAAGUGGGAAACGAAGUGGGAAGGCUAAAACAGUCAGGAUGUUGGCUUAGAAGCAGCCACCAUUUAAAGAAAGCGUAAUAGCUCACUGAUCGAGUCGUCCUGCGCGGAAGAUGUAACGGGGCUAAGCCAGUAACCGAAGCUGCGGAUUCACACGCAAGUGUGAGUGGUAGGAGAGCGUUCUGUACGCCUGUGAAGGUGGAUCGUGAGGUCUGCUGGAGGUAUCAGAAGUGCGAAUGCUGACAUGAGUAGCGUUAAAGGGGGUGAAAAGCCCCCUCGCCGUAAGCGCAAGGUUUCCUACGCAACGUUCAUCGGCGUAGGGUGAGUCGGCCCCUAAGGCGAGGCAGAGAUGCGUAGCUGAUGGGAAACAGGUCAAUAUUCCUGUACCGAUCUAUAGUGCGAUGUGGGGACGGAGAAGGUUAGCUCAGCCGGGUGUUGGAUGUCCCGGUUCAAGCCUGUAGUCGUGCCUGGUAGGCAAAUCCGCCAGGCUUAGAUGAGGGGUGAUAACGAGACGGCUUGCCGUCGAAGUGAGUGAUACCCUGCUUCCAGGAAAAGCCACUAAGCUUCAGCUAUAGACGACCGUACCGCAAACCGACACUGGUGCGCGUGAUGAGUAUUCUCAGGCGCUUGAGAGAACUCUGGAGAAGGAACUCGGCAAAUUGACACCGUAACUUCGGAAGAAGGUGUGCCUUUAGUAGGUGAACCCGUACAGGGGGAGCCCAAUGAGGCCGCAGAGAAUCGGUGGCUGCGACUGUUUAAUAAAAACACAGCACUCUGCAAAGACGAAAGUCGACGUAUAGGGUGUGACGCCUGCCCGGUGCUGGAAGAUUAAAUGAUGGGGUGCAAGCUCUUGAUUGAAGUCCCAGUAAACGGCGGCCGUAACUAUAACGGUCCUAAGGUAGCGAAAUUCCUUGUCGGGUAAGUUCCGACCUGCACGAAUGGCGUAACGAUGGCCACACUGUCUCCUCCAGAGACUCAGCGAAGUUGAAAUGUUUGUGAUGAUGCAAUCUCCCCGCGGAAAGACGGAAAGACCCCAUGAACCUUUACUGUAGCUUUACAUUGGACUUUGAACAGAUCUGUGUAGGAUAGGUGGGAGGCUUUGAAGCCAGGACGCUAGUUCUGGUGGAGCCAACGUUGAAAUACCACCCUGGUGUGUUUGAGGUUCUAACCUUGUCCCGUUAUCCGGGAUGGGGACAGUGUAUGGUAGGCAGUUUGACUGGGGCGGUCUCCUCCCAAAGCGUAACGGAGGAGUUCGAAGGUACGCUAGCCACGGUCGGAAAUCGUGGUGAUAGUGCAUUGGCAUAAGCGUGCUUGACUGCGAGACUGACAAGUCGAGCAGGUACGAAAGUAGGACAAAGUGAUCCGGUGGUUCUGUAUGGAAGGGCCAUCGCUCAACGGAUAAAAGGUACUCUGGGGAUAACAGGCUGAUACCGCCCAAGAGUUCAUAUCGACGGCGGUGUUUGGCACCUCGAUGUCGGCUCAUCUCAUCCUGGGGCUGUAGCCGGUCCCAAGGGUAUGGCUGUUCGCCAUUUAAAGAGGUACGUGAGCUGGGUUUAAAACGUCGUGAGACAGUUUGGUCCCUAUCUUCCGUGGGCGCUGCAAGAUUGAGAGAGCCUGCUCCUAGUACGAGAGGACCGGAGUGGACGCACCUCUGGUGUAUCGGUUGUCACGCCAGUGGCAUUGCCGAGUAGCUAAGUGCGGAAGAGAUAACCGCUGAAAGCAUCUAAGCGGGAAACUCGUCUCAAGAUGAGUCUUGCCGGGGCCUUGAGCCCCCUGAAGAGUCGUUCAAGACCAGGACGUUGAUAGGCUGGGUGUGGAAGCGCAGUAAUGCGUUAAGCUAACCAGUACUAAUUGCUCGUGAGGCUUGACCCU
rnacentral:rRNA from 1 species